GAGAGUUAAACAGUACGUGAAAUUGUUGAAAGGGAAACGAUUGAAGCCAGUCGUACCUUCGGGUAAUCAGCCUUUCGGGUGCGAUUCUGUGGAGUUUGAGGAGCUUAACACCUUCAUGCUUUGCAUAUUCGUGCUCUUGGGUGUACUUGCCCGUGUGGUUGGUUAACAUCAAUUUCGGGCACCAUAAAAUGGCUGGAGGAAUGUAGCUUCGAUCUUGUAUUGAAGUGUUAUAGCCUUCGGUAGAUGUGGUGAUCGAGAUUGAGGAUUGCAACGGAUACCUUUCGGGGCUACCUGUCUGAUCUCUGAUCGUUGCUUUGGUGCUGAAAGCGUGCUUAUAGUUAUUAAAGUCGAUGGUCAAUAGGUUAGAAUGGGUUAAAUUCGUUAAGGAUGUUGACGUAAUGGCUUUAAACGA
rnacentral:rRNA from 1 species